CCUACGGGAGGCAGCAGUGGGGAAUCUUGCGCAAUGCACGAAAGUGUGACGCAGCAACGCCGCGUGGGGGAAGAAGGCUUUCGGGUCGUAAACCCCUUUCAGUUGGGACGAAGCUUCGUCGGUUAAUAGCCGGCUGAAGUGACGGUACCUUCACAAGAAGCACCGGCUAACUACGUGCCAGCAGCCGCGGUAAUACGUAGGGUGCAAGCGUUGUCCGGAAUCAUUGGGCGUAAAGAGUGUGUAGGCGGCCCGAUCAGUCCGCUGUGAAAGUCCAAGGCUCAACCUUGGAAUGCCGGUGGAUACUGUCGGGCUCGAGUCCGGAAGAGGCGAGUGGAAUUCCUGGUGUAGCGGUGAAAUGCGCAGAUAUCAGGAAGAACACCAACGGCGAAGGCAGCUCGCUGGGACGGUACUGACGCUGAGACACGAAAGCGUGGGGAGCAAACAGGAUUAGAUACCCUGGUAGUCCACGCCGUAAACGAUGGGUACUAGGUGUGGGGGUGUCGACUCCCCCGGUGCCGAAGCUAACGCAUAGUACCCCGCCUGGGGAGUACGGCCGCAGGCAAACGUUAAUGAAUUGACGG
rnacentral:rRNA from 1 species